ACUGCACAAAGUCAGAAUCAUCUUUAGCAGACUGGAGAGAUUCUUCAAUGAAUAGGUUUGCCAUCUUUUAGAGGAUGCUGACAACAACAUUCUGAAUUAGGACUGAAGAAGUGUGUCUAACACUGUGGAAACCCAUCUCCCAACCCCCAGAGUGCCCGAGUUUAUGUAAAACAGGGAGAUUUGCUUCACUGUCAGGUUUUCUGCCUCUCACUUCACUCCCACAACUCUGUGUUUGAAUAUUCAGAAGCAAGGUUGGAGCUGAUUUAGACUGAUGACUCUAAAGCAGAGAUAUGCUGCAUGUAAAUAUGUGAUUCUGAGACAUGGUAGAAUAAGGUAUGAUGGAUUUGGAUAAUGUGACAGAUCAUGAAGAGGUGGAGUCUUUUUCUCUUUUCCUUGAACUGGAUUGGUCCUGUGAUUUGUUUUGGCAAUAGAGUGUGGCAGAAGUGAUGCUGUGUAACAAUCUCUCAUGGAACCCUGUGAGACGCCCAAGCCACGUGGAGAUGCCAUGUCCAGGGGAACUCGAGUCCACCAGCCACCAGCUCUGGCUGAGCACCCAGCAACAUAGUCCCUGGCAUGUUGAAGAUCCCUCCAAACUGUUGAUUUGAUGGAUGAAUGCAUAAGCGAAUGAAAGGAGGUGUCCUGCACUGGGAUAAGGGCACGGGUGAGGUUAACAGCAACUGCUCCGCCAACUGGAAGUUUGGGGACCUGGGCCUAGAGCCACUCAUCAAAGCAGAAACUGGGGAAACAGAUACAGCUGAAAGCUCCAGGAGGAGGUCCAUUUCAAUAGGAAGAAAAUACUAUUUUGUUCUGUGGCUUUAAACCAAAAGUGGCAAUGGUGAUAAUAAGCUACUACAUAGUUUACAUACAUUGUGAUUGAAGCACGGAAGAUCUCACAAAGUGAAUGUUAUUGUCUCCGUUUUAUGAUGUGAAAAAUGAGCCUCACAAGGUUUAAUGAUUUUCCCAAUGUCACAUAACUGUAGAUUGGAGAGGUACUUUGUCCCUGCCAGCCCAUCUUCCGAAUUUCUGGCCAUCCUUUUUGUGAUUGGUGAAUGUGAAGCCUGUAAACGGGUCGUUCCAGGUAUGAGCCAGGACUGCCCUCCGGGAGAGGUUCACGGGUGUUUCUCUGAGGCAUAAAAAUGACAUGCACCUGAGCCGUAGCACGGCUGCUGCGCCUGUUGAGGCACAUGGAUGAAGUGCUCUUUCUUCUCUCACAGAACAAGAAGGAACCUCAUGUCGUUGCAGAUCUAGAGGACAUCGCUCACCCUUCUCCCACUUUCUUGUGCAAUAAUCUGAGAAAAGGACAGAACCAAAUCUAACUUUGAUGUCUCCCAUGAAGAACAGACAGUUGAAGAAGGAUCCAUGGGCAAUUUGGGAUUCCAGAAAAGUUAUGAGGGAAAGAUGGAACGAGUUACUAUAUUCAACAGCCCUAGAAGAAAGAGAAAGAGAUGAAUAAACUGUUUCUCCUGACCUGAGGAAACAAUGAAGAAAUAUUUAGACUUGCUAGAAUCUUGCAUUUAUAUAUCUUUUUAAAUAAGAAUCUUUGAGAUACACUUCUGUUUUAUGUGCAGCUGUGUUGAGAUUUGAUACAGAACACAACGUUCUGUUUUUCAGAAAUGUGACUGAAAGAGAGAGAAAAAGGUCUAUUUAGAACAAAAUAAAGAACACAGCCCAAAGCCACACAAAGGCAAAUGUGUGUGAAUGUGAGCACGUUUUAACUUUUUCUUAAAAUCAGACUAGUGAUGGCCAAGAGUUGGCAGCUCUGCUUGAGGGGACAAUGCCCUUACUCUGGUAUGUGGCUCUGAGGUACCAACUGAUCUUACCUUCUCCAUUCUGCAAAGGUUGGAUCUGUCCACUAGCCUGUCUUCACCAUUAGGGAGAGGUCGUAAUGCCCAGAGGCGGUAGGCUGGGACCCCAGAAAGACCAAGAAUUCUGGAAUCCCUCAGACCGGGGUUGGAUUCCUAACUCACCAUUUCCUCACCUUGUGACCUUGGGUCAGUCCCAUAGGGUCUCUGAGCCCCAAUUUCUUUAUCUGUAGAAAAGGAACAAUGAUAUCUUCCUUGUAGGGGUUCUUUGAGGAUUAAAUGAGACAAUACAUGGGCUAUUUCUAGUAGAGUGACCGGCCAUCAGGUCCUGGCAAAUGGUGAUCUGUUGUGAGUUGUAUUUGCUCAUUUAUUUACUCAUUUGGGUGACAAAUAGGAGUUGAGCCCCUGCUAUGUGCUAGGUGCUGAGUGUACAAGUGUGUUAGAUAGACAUAGUCCCUGGUCUCGCAGAGCUGCAGAAUCAUGGAGGCAAGUGACAGACAGGUGAACAGUAAUUGAAAUACAGUGUAUUAAUAGGUUCCAAGUAAUUUGUAAGCACUGUGGUGCUGCAGCUUAAGAACAAUAUAUGUUAAUUUUUAAAUUGGGAUGGAUUGAAAGUAACACUUAUAAUUUUACUCUCAUUCACUUGAAGUCCACAAUACCUUUCCCCCAAAGUUGUGGAGGUAGAAACACUGUGCUAAGAAUAUAUAGUCCAAGGAAUACCAUAUGUGGAUGUAGCAUAUAGUUGAUGCUAAGAGAAUAGAAAUGAUGAUGAUGAUGGUGAUGAUGAUGAUGAAAAUGCCUUGAAACAAUGCUAUUGACAAGGCAAUCCUGGCAGCAUCUUACUGUGAUUCUCUAAAGUCAGCCUCAGGACAAUCCAAUGUUCUUCAUGUUUUCUGUAAACUCUAAUUACAGUGAGCACAGGUUUUAUGUCCUCUCAAGGCUGUCAUUGGAAACUCUGGAAAUAGAACCAAUAUUUUAAAAAUGUGAUCUUUAAAAAGAAAUUCCUCUCAUAUAAAUACUUUAUAAAUAUGGACUCAUGUUUGGGAGACCUUGGGAAAGGAUUCUGGGCUCUGGUACAUUUUUCUGAGAGAGGCAGGCUGGGCAACCCUGCUGGACCUUGUGCCUGCUUCUCCACCUCAGGACAUUUGGCAAGUCCCUGUCGCCCAGUUCUUGGCACAUGGAGACACCGUGAGGCUUACAAAGAAUCCCCAUCUGUCCUGACAUGAACACCACCCACUGCCCUUAAGUUCCCACCGCUCAGAUGGCAUGGGGACCUUGCUGAUGCCAGCUCCCUUUUUGAAGGAAUCCUCUGCAGUCACAAAGGCUGAGUUGCUAGAGCUUUUGCAAGGAAGUUUAAGAACAUGGAUACUCCAGGUUAAAGGAAGCAGGAGCAGAAUCCUCACAGAGGAUUCAGGUGGGAAAGUCCAGGCAAUUACAUCCUGCAGUUCUUUGCUAAAUUAUCAUUCUAAGAGCAUAUUGCUCCCCAAAAAGAUGAGGCGGGUUCCUCUGGCUCAGAUAAUACUGUAUAAAAUAAUUUUUCAUGAAUCUCUUCUAAAUUAUAGGUUCUAUCUCUAUCUAAUUAAUUUUUUUUCAAUUUACUUGUUGAAAAAUCUGGAUUGUUUGUUUAGUCAUGUUUCCCAAGUCCUGGGCUGUACUCUUUGCUUCUGUGCAGUGUAGAUGAACUGGGUUCUCUGUUUUGUGUAUUUCUUGCAAGUUGGUAGCUGGAUACAUGGACUUGGUUCAGGUUAGAUUUGUUUUUCCCUGACUGCUUCAGAACUGGUAUUGCAUUUUGCCUUCAGGAGGCACAUAAAGUUGUUCUCAUUUCUCUUUUUAUGGUGUCAGCAAUAAUUGAUACUCAAUUAAUGAACCAUUAAUUCAUUAAGGGUUGCAAAAGAUUGGUAUUCUAAUUUCUAUGGUUCCUUCUUCACUUAUUAGCUGGAAGACUUUUAUAAAAUGAAACUUCCCUUUAUUACUAUAGAGAUAGUUCAGUUCGUAUAGGAAAGCCAGGAUAAAGGCUUGAGUUGAGUUUUUACCUUUAUGCACCAAUGGUGACCAAGUAGUUUUUUUUUUUUCUUAAUUUGGAAGUAUCAUGAUGUAUCCAUGGAUUUUUAUAUAUUUGAUAUUAAACUUCUUACAGUUUUUAUAAUUAUUAAUGCUCAAACUGUCUUAUCCAUGGUGAAGAGAAAUAGGAACCUCUUGAGUCUUGCUGAC